rnacentral:rRNA from 1 species
UACGGGGGGGGCAAGCGUUGUUCGGAAUUACUGGGCGUAAAGGGCUCGUAGGUGGCCAACUAAGUCAGACGUGAAAUCCCUCGGCUUAACCGGGGAACUGCGUCUGAUACUGGAUGGCUUGAGUUUGGGAGAGGGACGCGGAAUUCCAGGUGUAGCGGUGAAAUGCGUAGAUAUCGGGAGGAACACCUGUGGCGAAGGCGGCCCCCUGGUUGGAUACUGACGCUGAUACGCGAAAGCGUGGGGAGCAAACAGG